rnacentral:rRNA from 1 species
UACGGAGGGUGCGAGCGUUGUCCGGAAUCACUGGGCGUAAAGGGCGCGUAGGCGGCGCGGGUAGUCAUCGGUGAAAGUUCAGGGCUCAACUCUGAAUCGGCCGGUGAUACUCCCGUGCUCGAGCACUGUAGAGGCAGGUGGAAUUCCGGGUGUAGCGGUGGAAUGCGUAGAGAUCCGGAAGAACACCGGUGGCGAAGGCGGCCUGCUGGGACAUGGCUGACGCUGAGGCGCGACAGCGUGGGGAGCAAACAGG